UGAAACUUUAUACUCAAAUGAAACAGAAAAUCUCAAAGACAUUGACAAAUUUCUAGAGACAUAUGACUUACCCAGACUGAAUCAGGAGGACCUACACAAUUUGAACAGAUCAAUUUCAAGCAAUGAAAUAAAAGAUGCCAUCGAAAGCCUAUUAACCAAGAAAAGCCCAGGACCAGAUGGAUUAUCAGCCAAGUUCUACAAGACCUUCAAAA
rnacentral:lncRNA from 1 species